AAGAUUAACUUUAAUAGACUUCUAAUCUAUCAGAAAUGACAACUCAUUUAAUCUUU
rnacentral:tRNA from 1 species